CCCAUUGAUAACAAAAGUAUAAAAAAUAAGAAAAAGAAGAGAACCCCAAGAAGGCUUUGUGUUUGCUUAGAUGAUGGGCUAGCAUUCUACAUUUUCAUUCUCAGUGGGGCAGAGAAGGGAGGCUACCAUGGGCAGAAGCAUGGAAAAGAAAUAGGAGAAGAAACAAAGGAUUUAUCCAGCAAGAGAGACAGGAGGAAGAAGGAAGUGGACAAAAGCUGCCCUGAGAUUCUCAUCCCACAGACCUAUCAGGUCCAUUUCCCCUAACCUCUCCUCCCCAGAUCAACAAUGCUCAUCUCUUCUGAUUCUCUUCUAAUUAUAUAUGUUCCCCUUUUUUGUUUAUCUUCUAGAAUCAGACUAGCACCUUUGCUCCAGGACAUAGGAUCCAUUUCCAAUGGCAAAAAGCUCUGACGCACUGAGAGUGUCAUUCAUAUACCAGGCAACCUAAAAUGGGGAAAGAGAGAAGAAUGCUCCUGGGAAGGUUGUAUUGGCUAGACCUGAGGAUGGCAUACAUGUGUACUCACAUUCUACAGGCUGUGGCUAAGUCAUGUGGCUGUGCCCAGUUACAAGGGUGGCUGAAAUGUGGUUGUACUAGUUUCCUAAGCUUGCCAUAACAAAGGAAGCAAACCGGGUGGCUUAAAAUAACAGAACUUUAUUCUCUCACAGUUAUGGAGGAUGGAAGUCUGAAAUCAAGGUGUUAGAGCCAUGCUCCUUCUGAGAGCUUUAGAGAAGCAUCCUUCCUUGCCUCUUUCCCGCUUCUAGUGGUUGCCGGCAAUUGGUCUUUCUUGGCGUGUAGCUGCAUAGUUCCUAUUUUGCCUCAGUCUUCAUAUGACUGCCUUCCCACGGUGCCCAAAUUUUCCUCUUUUUAUAAGGAUACCUGUCACUGGACUAAGGCUCACCCUAAUCUAUUAUGACCUCACUUUAACAUGAUUGCUUCUACAAAAGGCCCUAUUCCCAAGUCAGGCCACAUUCACAGGAACUGGAGGUUAGGACUUAAACGUAUCCUUUUUUUGGGGGGGGGGGGGGAGAGGACAGUUCAACCCAUGACAGUGGUCUAGCUGUCUAGGAGGGAAAGACAAAAUUGUUUGAUGAAUCGCUGUCCAAUCUGUAUCUAGUUAGUUGUUGAGUUUCUCUAACACAAGUAAUAGGAAACAGGAAAGGUUUUGAGGGUUUUAGAGAACUAAGCCUUUAUUGGUAUCAAUGAUUCUCUAAAAAAAUAUAUUUUUUAACACCAGACAAUUUUGACAAAUAAACUUUUGGAAGAUAAUCUAUCUCUAAGGCAUAAUUGCUUAUACUACGGGGACAUUUACCCCCCCCCCCAAAUAAUGCCACAAUUUUUUUUUAAAGCAGUAUGUCUCAGAUUUCAUAAUACUCUUGAUUCUAAUGGCUUAAUAGAACAGAGUAGGCAUAUUAAAAUUAAUCUAAUCACCUCUAAAACUCCAUACCUAUAAAAUAUUCUUAGCAUAAAACUAAGAAAGGUUUCCUUUUUUCUCCUUGGGUCACUGUCAUCUGACUGUGGUUUCUGCUCUUGGCAUUUUCCAUCUUGGCUUUUGCCCAUCUUACUGCACUUUAUUAAGUGGCUGCUCUUCACUGAAGCUGGCCAUGAUUUAAUAAAAACAACAACAACAACAACAACAAUGAACAGUGUCUUUAGAAUCAGAAGAACAUUAGUUCUGCAGCUUAUCAACCUUGUUAUCCUGGGAAAGUCACCAAAACUGCUUUCUACCUCAGUUUUUUUUUUUUUUCCCUUCCUGUACUAUGCUUGAUGUUGACCUUUUCCCAGUGUGGUUGUAAGAAUCCCAUAAAGUCACUAAAUAUUUGAGUAUCUGUCAUGUGCCAGUAUUGUUAUAAGUACUUGGGAUAUGUCAGUGAGCACAGAUCUCAAGCCUUCAUGGAUCUUCCAUUGUGGGGCUAAAAAUUAUGUAAAUUAUAAAAUGCUUUAAAAUGUAAGGUACUGUCAUGACUGCUAUUUUAUCUGCAGCAGCAACUCCAGUUUCUCAAAUAUCUUUAAAAAUUGUAUUGAAAUGCUACAGCAUAGCUCUCCCAGAUGUCAGAAGGUAUGCAAAAUCAUCAAAUAAAUGGAGACUUUACCCAUUAAAAGUUUAACCAUAAAUAUAAACUCAUGGUAAAUAUUUAAAAUGUUUCCUUAUUGCAUUUAAAAAUAAGCCUGGGGCCCCUAUUAUAUGUCACACAAUGCGUUAGGUUCCAUACGGGAUGAGAAGAUAAACACUAAUCCUGCCCUUCAGGAGCUUAGCUUCUGGUUGGACACAUGCCGGCUAAAGACUACUCUCUGAGGACAGAAGAGGAAUGCCCAGUAAGAAGGCACAGAGAAAUUGAUUGAAAGCUUCAAAGAGAAACCCAAAUGCUCACAACACUACAACCUAUUGUCAAUCUCUGCAUGUAUAAAUUGUACCUUCUAGGAGUUCCCAUUGUGGCUCAGUGGAAACGAAUGUGACUAGCAUCCAUGAGGAUGCAGGUUUGAUCCCUGGUCUCACUCAGUGGGUUAAGGAUCCAGUGUUGCUGUGAACUGUGGUGUAGGCCAGCGGUAUAGCUCCAAUUCAACCCCUAGCCUGGGAACCUCCAUAUGCCGUGGGUGUGACCCUAAAAAGAUAAAUAAAGAAAUAGAUAAGUAAAUAAAUAAAUAAAUUGUAUCUUCUAAUGCUAUAAUGACUAAACUACUGCUAGCACCUAUUUAUCUACUUGCUGAGAUUUUUAUUUUACAGUUUGAAUAUGGGUGCUUACCUCUGUGGUAUUCUGGUCUAGUGUGUGUGCAGUACAUUCACUCUGUAAAGAAAGUACAUUGUAUAAAAGUUUACUUUUCAGAAGCAGCAGCCAGGAGUUUGUAGCUCCACUGUCAACAUCGGAGACCUGCGUCCGAGUGUCUAAGCCAUGGGUUAUAUAUUUGGAUAUUGACAAAGAAGGCACUGUUAGGAGAGACUAUCCAAACCUAACCAGAAAUUGCUAAUUCAUAAAGUUGUCAAAUACGAAGUUCACCUGUUUGCGAUUUACUUUGCAGAAGUGACAUAAAAACAAUGAUUGGGCUCCUCCUCGGGCUAUCAAAACCAUUGACUGAAAAACAUUCUGGCAUCAAAUGAGAAUGAAGGUGUUAGUAACACAUCUGUCCUGGAGAUCCAGAUGCUGGCAAAGUUUUCCUUUUUCCGCUCUUUUUCUCUUUUGCCAUGUCAUUGGUUUGCUAAUGUAUUU
rnacentral:lncRNA from 1 species